rnacentral:rRNA from 1 species
CCUACGGGAGGCAGCAGUGGGGAAUAUUGGGCAAUGGGCGCAAGCCUGACCCAGCAACGCCGCGUGAAGGAAGAAGGCUUUCGGGUUGUAAACUUCUUUUCUCAGGGACGAAGAAAGUGACGGUACCUGAGGAAUAAGCCACGGCUAACUACGUGCCAGCAGCCGCGGUAAUACGUAGGUGGCAAGCGUUAUCCGGAUUUAUUGGGUGUAAAGGGCGUGUAGGCGGGAGCGCAAGUCAGAUGUGAAAACUCAGGGCUCAACCCUGAGCCUGCAUUUGAAACUGUGUUUCUUGAGUGCUGGAGAGGCAGGCGGAAUUCGGGGUGUAGGGGGGAAAGGCGUAGAUAUCAGGAGGAAAACCAGUG